AUUGAACGCUAGCGGGAUGCCUUACACAUGCAAGUCGAACGGAGUGGCGAACGGGUGAGUAAUGUAUCGGAACGUGCCCAGUAGCGGGGGAUAACUACGCGAAAGCGUAGCUAAUACCGCAUACUAUUGGAGCGGCCUGUAUCGGAUUAGCUAGUUGGUGGGGUAGGGGCUCACCAAGGCGGCGAUCCGUAGCUGGUUUGAGAGGACGACCAGCCACACUGGGACUGAGACACGGCCCAGACUCCUACGGGAGGCAGCAGUGGGGAAUUUUGGACAAUGGGGGAAACCCUGAUCCAGCCAUCCCGCGUGUGCGAUGAAGGCCUUCGGGUUGUAAAGCACUUUUGGCAGGAAGGCGGUACCUGCAGAAUAAGCACCGGCUAACUACGUGCCAGCAGCCGCGGUAAUUC
rnacentral:rRNA from 1 species